rnacentral:lncRNA from 1 species
UUAUGACUCUGUGCGCGUGCACGAACAUUCAACAACAAUCCUCGGAAGAUCUUAGUAUGUAAGUGGGAGCAUAAUCAUAUUUUACUCAAUCAUGUAGCCCAUGCGUAUUCGAAGUGUUCAGAUUUCAGGGCAGCUCGCGAGGUUUUUGAUAAAAUGCCUCACGGAAAUGUUUUCUCUUGGACUGCCAUGAUUGUGGGUUCAGGCGAGAAUGGGUUGUAUCACGAUGGGUUCAAGUACUUUUGUGAGAUGCGGGACUGUGGAAAAUGGCCCGAUGGAUUCGCAAAACUUUGCAAUUGUAUAUUGGUCUAGAAUGUGUUGAUUUGGUAAGAUGGUGCUUGCCCAUGUUGUUAUAAGAGACUUUGAGUCACAUAUUUUUGUUAGUACGUUACGGUCGGCACCUUAACAUGUACAUGAACGCUGGGAAAGGUUAAGAAUGAAUUCAAGUCAGUGUUCAACACAUGACAGAUCACAUGAGUUUCUUGGAAUGCCAGUGAUAACCGAGUCAUUACGUCAAUGGUCAUUAGUUAGAAGCAUUUAAUCAUUUCUUUACAAUGCGAACAAAGGAUCACAUCCAAAUGUGUAUACCUUUAUUAGCGUUCUGAAGGCGUUGGAAAUUAGGUGUGCAACUCAAGGGGAAACAAUUUUCACAAGUUGUCUCCAAGUUGGGGGGUAUGGAGUCUAUGUUCUUGUGGAACCACACUAAUUGAUAUGUAUGUCAAAAUGAGGGGCUUUAUUCCGAUGCAAGAUUUAUUUUUGACAUGACUUUACCAUAUGAGUUGACAUGCCAUGGAGAUGCAUUGACUUUCAUGCUAUUCAACGUGUGGUUGUAGCCAAGAAGCUGUGAAAAAACCAUUUGUAAAAAUGUGUGGAAACAUGUAAAAUCUGAUGUUUACGCUGCUGUAGUGUGUUUUAAUGCCAUUGCCAAUUUAAAGCAUUUUAAAGUUUGUGAGGAAAGCUCAUGGGUGGUUUUGAAAUCGGGGUAUGAUUUGAUUGUCCUCAAGUGUUCAUAUGCUAUUACCGAUGCAUAUUCCAAAUGUGCGUCUCUUGAAGAUGUGAGGAAGUUUUUUCAGAUGGAAGAGAGAGAGAGGUAGUGUCUUGGACCACAUUUGACUGCUUACUCCCAAUCUUUUUAGAAUGGGAGACAGCAUUGGUCGGAUUCUCUCGAAUGAAAGACGAGGCUUUACACAAAUCAAUUUAACCUUUUCUAGUGUGUUUGCUUGCUUGCACCAGCCUUUUUUUCUUGAAUUUGGUCGACAAGUCCAUGGCCUUUGUUCAAGGAUGGCUUUGGAGCACUACAAGUGCAUUAGAAAGUGCAAUAAUUGAUAUGUACAUGCUAAGUGUGUAACAUAAUAGAAGCAAAGAAAGCUUUCGUUGCAUUUCACAACUGAUAUAGUUUCUGGACUGCUAUUAUAUCAAAGGUAUGCCCAACACGUUUUGUGUGAUCACACUCUUAAGCUUUUUCGUAUGAUGGAGCAGUUCGUGUAAACCUAAUGCUGUUACAACUGCUCUCCAUCUCUCAUUUGCUUGUAGUCAUGGCGUUUGGUAGAAGAAGUCCUUCCGCUAUUUCCAACUGAGGAGGAAACUUACAUUCAUGGUUCUAGAGAUGGGGCUUUAUGCUUGUAUUGUUGACCUCUUAUGUCUUGUGGGCCACCUAGAUGAGGCCUUAGAAUUAAUACACAAAAUGCCAAAUGAACCAAAUGAUAUGGUCUGGCAGACGCUUUUAGGAGCAUGCAGGGUUCAUGGCAAUGUUGAGCUGGGAGAGAUUGCUGCCAAGAAAAUCUUUUCCAUUCAGCCGGAGUUUUCAGCUACCUAUGAUCUUUUAUCUAACACAUAUAUUUGGUCGGGGAGCAUCAGGGAUGGAAUGUUUAAGAAAAGUAAUGAAAGAGCGAGAUAUGAAGAGGGAACCAGGGUGCCGUUGGAUAUCUGUGAAAGGUGAAGUUCAUAAGUUUUAUGCAAGAGACCCACACCACCCAGAAAGAGAUCAAAUAUAUCUCAUGUUGCAAGAUUUGAGGGAGAACAUUAAGGCCAUGGGUUAUGUACCGGAUAUGCGGUAUGUGCUGCAAGAUUUGGCUUAAGAGGGAGAAUUUGAGUUUGAAUUUCUGUUAGUCUUUAUGACAGCUUAGCAUGCUAGCAUGUCUUGAUGCUUCACGUACUGCAACAUUCCAAUAACAAUAAUUCCCAAAUCAUAUCUUCCUUCUCUCUCUUUCUAGAUUUGGCACCACAAGAAAGAUAUGUCUCCCCAAUCAUCCUCAUUUUGUUUGAGAUGAGGAUGAAAGAAUGUUAAGCUCACAAGACACCUAGGGAAGGUAGACACCAACUGCUAGUCACGGAGAAUUAGCUUGGCAUCCAUUGGAUGCUUAUGGGGAUUUAAAAAAAUGACGGUGGAUAAUCCGGUGUUCCUAUAGUCAAAACGAAGUUUUGUUUAGAAUGCAUGAAUAUGUCAAAUAUAAGCUAGUGUUACAAUAUUAAUUUUUGGGUUGAUGUUGGAUAGUCGAAUAGG